rnacentral:sRNA from 22 species
CCUGAUCCAGAACUUCGAUUCCGUGUAGAUCAUCCUCGGGAAGGUGCGCCCGCUUCACGUCACCCCGCCGAGGGC